AAAGUGGGUGGUGGGAUGAGAAAUUUUCGUGACUUUGGCUACCCACUGCAUAGGGCCUCAAAAUAUAGGGUCUCAAAACAAAAUUUAAGAGAGCUACUUUUGCCACCCUACGGGUUACUCGCGCACUCUAUUUUUAUACAUUCGCGACUUAAGUAGCGGAUAUGUAAAAAUAGGGCGUUUUGGGAAGAAAAAAAGCCGUCUACUACCUAAGUCGCGGACAGUGUUUGAGUAACCAGUAGGACGGCAAAAGUAACUCCCAAAAUUUAAAUAGCUAGUGUUGAUGAUAUUAGAAAUUGGGGGUACAAAAUAUAAUAUUUUUUAUUUAUUUAUUUUAAUUCUAAUUGUUAAUUAUCUUUUAAUUCUAUUUAACGGUUCAAUUUAAAUAUGUUUAUUUCGUUCGAUUUCAAAUCUGUAAAAUUGAUAAUAAAAAAAAUACUGAGAAAUUUCAAAUUCUAUUUAUUUCCUUUCUUCUUUAUACUAGAAGUGUUAGAAAAGUGAUUGUUUUUCAUCACAGUAUCCGGUCCACUGGACUGUCUAAUCUGGUUUGAAGGUCGGUUCUAGCAUCAAGUGAUUCCAGCCACCUCCCGAUCGCAGUUGCGGGAAUCAAAAUAUGGUUCUCUCUACCAAGUCCAACGUCAAUCACCACUAAACCAACUAACGAUUGGUAAAAUUGACCUUUUUUAUUUAUUUUCACCACCAGUAUUCGGCCCACUUGACCGUCUAAUCUGGUUCGGGGGUAAGUUCUGGCAUUAAGUAGUUCAAGCCCCUUCCUAUUUGCAGUUGCAAUAAAUCCAACUGUAGUCAUCCCUAAAAAGUCCAACACCAAAAUUGACUUCUUUUUUUUUUACAACAUUUUUCCCUACAUUAAAUAAUGUUGAUUUUCCUUUGUCCAUUAUGAAAUGCCAAAUAAAAAAAAAAUUAAAAAAAUUAUGUGCAAUAUACUCUAAGGUCAAGUGGUGACUUACAUGAGUUAAAGGGACAAAUAUUAUACAUCAAUUUAAUUUUGAGACAUUUAAAGGGACAAAUAUUCUAACAUAGCACAAGAGUUUUUACUAUAUAAAGUAGCAAUUAAUCCAUUUAACAAAUAUUCUACAUGCAACGAUGAAAAAAAUGACUAAAAUUCUCAAGUUUGUUUAUACUAUAACCUUCUUUGUUUCCCUAUUUCUCGUUGUAGUAAACGUUGGUGGUGGAAAGUGUAUUUCAGACGUGCAUUGUAUGUAUCUUUCAUGUCGGUCUAGUCAAAUUAAGCAUUGUCUUCAAAGUGAAUGCUACUGUAUUAAUCGUGUUAAUGAAAAAGUUGUUUUCUAUUAUGCCUAAUUUUAAUUUUCUUUGCUCA